GUAAUUCAGAUUCAUCUCCUCCUGAUAAUGAACAAGGCCUCCCCAGAGUAUGAAGAGAACAUGCACAGAUACCAGAAGGCAGCCAAGCUCUUCCAGGGGAAGCCGCAAAAAUUUAUUUUCACUCAAGAUUUCAAUUGCAUGGUGCAGACCAUAAAUUCAAUCAGAGUAAGCUGCAACAAUUACAAGGUAUCUCUUUAUCUCUGGACCUCAGAUAGAACUUUUUCUUUCAAACUUUCCCAACUGCAGAUUCUCUUUAUUCUGGUGGACAGUGGUAUGAAAGAAAAUGG
rnacentral:sRNA from 1 species